UGAGGGUGAGUUGUCUGUGAAAUCUCCAAUUCCAUUGAUCCCUAGGAUGGAUUCAACUGAUCUGACUGGCAAGGCGUUAUCCCUUUCCUCCAUCA
rnacentral:snRNA from 1 species